UCACCAAGGCGACGACGGGUAGCCGGCCUGAGAGGGUGACCGGCCACACUGGGACUGAGACACGGCCCAGACUCCUACGGGAGGCAGCAGUGGGGAAUAUUGCACAAUGGGCGCAAGCCUGAUGCAGCGACGCCGCGUGAGGGAUGACGGCCUUCGGGUUGUAAACCUCUUUCAGUAGGGAAGAAGCCUUUCGGGGUGACGGUACCUGCAGAAGAAGCGCCGGCUAACUACGUGCCAGCAGCCGCGGUAAUACGUAGGGCGCGAGCGUUAUCCGGAAUUAUUGGGCGUAAAGAGCUCGUAGGCGGUUUGUCGCGUCUGCUGUGAAAGCCCGGGGCUUAACUCCGGGUCUGCAGUGGGUACGGGCAGACUAGAGUGCAGUAGGGGAGACUGGAAUUCCUGGUGUAGCGGUGAAAUGCGCAGAUAUCAGGAGGAACACCGAUGGCGAAGGCAGGUCUCUGGGCUGUUACUGACGCUGAGGAGCGAAAGCAUGGGGAGCGAACAGGAUUAGAUACCCUGGUAGUCCAUGCCGUAAACGUUGGGCACUAGGUGUGGGGGACAUUCCACGUUUUCCGCGCCGUAGCUAACGCAUUAAGUGCCCCGCCUGGGGAGUACGGCCGCAAGGCUAAAACUCAAAGGAAUUGACGGGGGCCCGC
rnacentral:rRNA from 1 species